rnacentral:tRNA from 1 species
GGGAGUUUGGCCGAGUGGUUAAGGCGUUGUGUUUAGGUCUUCAUCUGAUCUCCAGAUGGAAACUCGAGACCGCAAUGGGAAACCGCGCAGGUUCGAAUCCUGCAGCUCUCA